AUUGAACGCUGGCGGCAUGCCUUACACAUGCAAGUCGAACGGCAGCGCGGACUUCGGUCUGGCGGCGAGUGGCGAACGGGUGAGUAAUGUAUCGGAACGUACCAUUCAGUGGGGGAUAACGCAGCGAAAGUUGCGCUAAUACCGCAUAUUCUGUGCGCAGGAAAGCAGGGGAUCGCAAGACCUUGCGCUGAUUGAGCGGCCGAUAUCAGAUUAGCUAGUUGGUGAGGUAAAGGCUCACCAAGGCGACGAUCUGUAGCGGGUCUGAGAGGAUGAUCCGCCACACUGGAACUGAGACACGGUCCAGACUCCUACGGGAGGCAGCAGUGGGGAAUUUUGGACAAUGGGCGCAAGCCUGAUCCAGCAAUGCCGCGUGCAGGACGAAGGCCUUCGGUUGUAAACUGCUUUGUACAGACGAAAAGCCUCUCUAAUACAGGGGUGCAUGACGGUACUGUAAGAAUAAGCACGG
rnacentral:rRNA from 1 species